CGUGAGCAAUUGGAUUGUCAUCAGCCCUGCCUGUUUUGUACCUGGGAAGUGCCCUGGUCUUACUUGGGUCCAAAUUGUUGGCUUUCACUUUUGACCUUAAGCAUCUGAAGCCAUGGGCCAUACACGGAGGCAGGGAACAUCACCAUCCAAGUGUCCAUACCUCAAUUUCUUUCAGCUCUUGGUGCUGGCUAGUCUUUCUCACUUCUGUUCAGGUGUUAUCCACGUGACCAAGGAAGUGAAAGAAGUGGCAACGCUGUCCUGUGGUCACAAUGUUUCUGUUGAAGAGCUGGCACAAACUCGCAUCUACUGGCAAAAGGAGAAGAAAAUGGUGCUGACUAUGAUGUCUGGGGACAUGAAUAUAUGGCCCGAGUACAAGAACCGGACCAUCUUUGAUAUCACUAAUAACCUCUCCAUUGUGAUCCUGGCUCUGCGCCCAUCUGACGAGGGCACAUAUGAGUGUGUUGUUCUGAAGUAUGAAAAAGACGCUUUCAAGCGGGAACACCUGGCUGAAGUGACGUUAUCGGUCAAAGGUUGGUGGGAUUUUCUGAUUUUACUCUAGGCCGGCAGAUUCUUAAUGCCCUUAAAGACACAUGGCUAUUGAUUUAGGUGAAAAUUUUACCAAAGAGGGAUGUAUCUCACUUCAUUUCUUGGAGUUAAGUCUCUAGUUGUAUGAUAAACUCUAACUGGUUUCUAAAGAUGUCCUGGAAAUAUCUGUUAAUGUGCAUUUAUUGUUCUUU
rnacentral:sRNA from 1 species